UGCUUGGCUUUGUGUCUCGAGACUCAUC
rnacentral:piRNA from 1 species